AUUGAACGCUGGCGGCAUGCCUUACACAUGCAAGUCGAACGGCAGCACGGGAGCUUGCUCCUGGUGGCGAGUGGCGAACGGGUGAGUAAUACAUCGGAACGUACCCAGUAGUGGGGGAUAACGCACCGAAAGGUGCGCUAAUACCGCAUACGACCUACGGGUGAAAGCGGGGGACCGUAAGGCCUCGCGCCAUUGGAGCGGCCGAGGUCUGAUUAGCUAGUUGGCGGGGUAAAAGCCCACCAAGGCGACGAUCAGUAGCUGGUCUGAGAGGACGAUCAGCCACACUGGGACUGAGACACGGCCCAGACUCCUACGGGAGGCAGCAGUGGGGAAUUUUGGACAAUGGGGGCAACCCUGAUCCAGCAAUGCCGCGUGUGCGAAGAAGGCCUUCGGGUUGUAAAGCACUUUUGUCAGGGAAGAAAUCUUUCAGGCUAAUACCCUUGGAAGGAUGACGGUACCUGAAGAAUAAGCACCGGCUAACUACGUGCCAGCAGCCGCCGUAA
rnacentral:rRNA from 1 species